GAUUAGCUAGUUGGUUAGGUAAGGGCCUACCAAGGCGACGAUCGGUAGCUGGUCUGAGAGGAUGACCAGCCACACUGGAACUGAGACACGGUCCAGACUCCUACGGGAGGCAGCAGUGGGGAAUAUUGGACAAUGGGGGGAACCCUGAUCCAGUAACACCGCGCAUGGCUACGGUGACUACCCGGUCUAAAGCAGUUUCAGUGGGGAGGAGGUUUCUAAGUUUAAGAGCUAAUUAACUGGACGUUACCCACAGAAGAAGCAUCGGCUAACUCCGUGCCAGCCGCCGCGACAAUACGGAGGGUGCAAGCCUCAAUCAGAAUUUCAGGGCGUAAAGAGUGCGUAGGAAGUUCCAUAAGUUAUCUGUGAAAUCCCUCAGCUUAACCUGGACAGGCCAGCUCAUCCUUGGCGCCAUCUCCUGGGAGAGGGUACAGGAAUCUCCCUAGUAGCGGUGAAAUGCGUAGAGAUCGGCGGUCUCACCAGUGGCGAAGGCGGCUACCUGGCCUAAUACUGACACUGAGGCACGAAAGCGUGGGGAGCAAACAGUUUUCGAGUUAACGGUAGUUCACAUCGUAAACGAUGUCAGUCGGCUGUUGG
rnacentral:rRNA from 1 species